rnacentral:rRNA from 1 species
UUAGUAACUGCGAGUGAAGUGGGAAAAGCUCAAAUUUAAAAUCUGGCAGUCUUUGACUGUCCGAGUUGUAAUCUAGAGAAGCAUUGUCCGUGCUGAGCCAUGUAUAAGUCUCCUGGAAUGGAGUGUCAUAGAGGGUGAGAAUCCCGUCUUUGACAUGGACUAUCAGUACUUUUGUGAUUUGCUCUCAAAGAGUCGAGUUGUUUGGGAAUGCAGCUCUAAAUGGGUGGUAAAUUCCAUCUAAAGCUAAAUAUUGGCGAGAGACCGAUAGCGAACAAGUACCGUGAGGGAAAGAUGAAAAGAACUUUGGAAAGAGAGUUAAACAGUACGUGAAAUUGUUGAAAGGGAAACGCUUGAAGUCAGUCACAUUGAUCAGGAAUCAGCCAUGCUUUUUUUGCUUGGUGUACUUUCUGGUUAAUGGGUCAGCAUCAAUUUUGACCAGUGGAAAAAGGUCAAGGGAAUGUGGCAUCUUUGGAUGUGUUAUAGCCUUUGAUUGAAUACAUUGGUUGGGAUUGAGGAACUCAGCACUUGUUGUUUAGGAUGCUGGCAUAAUGGCUUUAAUCGACCCGUCUUGAAACACGGACCAAGGAGUCUAACAUGCCUGCAAGUGUUUGGGUGGAAAACCCAUGCGCGUAAUGAAAGUGAAAGUUGGGAUCCCUGUCAUGGGGAGCACCGACACCCAGACCAGACCUUCUGUGACGGAUCUGCGGUAGAGCAUGUAUGUUGGGACCCGAAAGAUGGUGAACUAUGCCUGAAUAGGGUGAAGCCAGAGGAAACUCUGGUGGAGGCUCGUACCGAUUCUGACGUGC